CGGCAGUGUUGGGCCGCAAGGGGCGAGCUGUAAAGGGCCUCCAAAUGCGAUGGAAAUGGAAUCGAGAAGGGAGAGGGAAGGUGCUUGAGUGAGGAAGGUGGGUGAAAGAUGGGUAAGGUGUAUGUGCGAGGAGGGGGGAAAACGUAACACAGAGUGAAAGCGAGGCUGGGAUGGCGGAAAAAUGGGUUUGCUUCAUGGAAUUCACUACAGCAGAGGUGAAGUGUAGAAGAGAAGGGUGCUGCAGGCUCACAGGUGCUGCAAGUUUCGGAAUAAAAAAAAAAAAAGGGCAAACAGACUCAAAGAAGUACAUGUUCGUUAAUAAUGCCUCUGAAAGGAGACCUAGUUUUUCCUUCCCUCUCCGUGCAGAUGGCAAUCCAACAUAAACUUUUGAAGAUCAGUGGAUGAGAAUUGAUUAGAAGGGAAACAAAACAAAGGAACAAUUGCAUCAGUUUGUUGAAGCUAUUAAAAAAAAUGAAACUCGGUGCUGCACAGCAAUGUAUUGACACAAGAUACGUGAAAAG
rnacentral:lncRNA from 1 species